rnacentral:rRNA from 1 species
UACGAAGGGGGCUAGCGUUGUUCGGAAUUACUGGGCGUAAAGCGCACGUAGGCGGCUAUUCAAGUCAGAGGUGAAAGCCUGGAGCUCAACUCCAGAACUGCCUUUGAAACUAGAUAGCUUGAAUCCAGGAGAGGUGAGUGGAAUUCCGAGUGUAGAGGUGAAAUUCGUAGAUAUUCGGAAGAACACCAGUGGCGAAGGCGGCUCACUGGACUGGUAUUGACGCUGAGGUGCGAAAGCGUGGGGAGCAAACAGG